UACGGAGGGUGCAAGCGUUAUCCGGAUUCACUGGGUUUAAAGGGUGCGUAGGCGGCAUGGUAAGUCAGUGGUGAAAUCUCCAAGCUUAACUUGGAAACUGCCGUUGAUACUAUCAUUCUUGAAUAUCGUGGAGGUGAGCGGAAUAUGUCAUGUAGCGGUGAAAUGCUUAGAUAUGACAUAGAACACCGAUUGCGAAGGCAGCUCACUACGCGAUUAUUGACACUGAGGCACGAAAGCGUGGGGAUCAAACAGG
rnacentral:rRNA from 1 species